rnacentral:rRNA from 1 species
GAUGAACGCUGGCGGCGUGCUUAACACAUGCAAGUCGAACGAACCUUCGGGUUAGUGGCGGACGGGUGAGUAACGCGUGAGAAUCUGCCCUCAGGAGGGGGAUAACGGUUGGAAACGACCGCUAAUACCCCAUAUGCCGAUAGGUGAAAUGAAUUUCGCCUGAGGAUGAGCUCGCGUCUGAUUAGCUUGUUGGUGAGGUAAUGGCUCACCAAGGCUUCGAUCAGUAGCUGGUCUGAGAGGAUGAUCAGCCACACUGGGACUGAGACACGGCCCAGACUCCUACGGGAGGCAGCAGUGGGGAAUUUUCCGCAAUGGGCGAAAGCCUGACGGAGCAACGCCGCGUGAGGGACGAAGGCCUCUGGGCUGUAAACCUCUUUUCUCAAGGAAGAAGAUAUGACGGUACUUGAGGAAUAAGCCACGGCUAAUUCCGUGCCAGCAGCCGCGGUAAUACGGGAGUGGCAAGCGUUAUCCGGAAUUAUUGGGCGUAAAGCGUCCGCAGGCGGCCUUUCAAGUCUGCUGUUAAAGCGUGGAGCUUAACUCCAUUAUGGCAGUGGAAACUGAUUGGCUUGAGUAUGGUAGGGGCAGAGGGAAUUCCCGGUGUAGCGGUGAAAUGCGUAGAUAUCGGGAAGAACACCAGUGGCGAAGGCGCUCUGCUGGGCCAUUACUGACGCUCAUGGACGAAAGCCAGGGGAGCGAAAGGGAUUAGAUACCCCUGUAGUCCUGGCCGUAAACGAUGAACACUAGGUGUCGGGGGAAUCGACCCCUUCGGUGUCGUAGCUAACGCGUUAAGUGUUCCGCCUGGGGAGUACGCACGCAAGUGUGAAACUCAAAGGAAUUGACGGGGGCCCGCACAAGCGGUGGAGUAUGUGGUUUAAUUCGAUGCAACGCGAAGAACCUUACCAGGGUUUGACAUCCUGAGAACCUCUUAGAAAUUUGAGGGUGCCUUCGGGAAUUCAGUGACAGGUGGUGCAUGGCUGUCGUCAGCUCGUGUCGUGAGAUGUUGGGUUAAGUCCCGCAACGAGCGCAACCCACGUUUUUAGUUGCCAGCAUUUAGUUGGGCACUCUAGAAAGACCGCCGGUGAUAAACCGGAGGAAGGUGUGGAUUACGUCAAGUCAUCAUGCCCCUUACACCCUGGGCUACACACGUACUACAAUGCUACGGACAAAGGGCAGCAAACUCGCGAGAGCUAGCAAAUCCCAUAAACCGUGGCUCAGUUCAGAUCGUAGGCUGCAACUCGCCUACGUGAAGUAGGAAUCGCUAGUAAUCGCAGGUCAGCAUACUGCGGUGAAUACGUUCCCGGGCCUUGUACACACCGCCCGUCACACCAUGGAAGUUGGCCAUGCCCGAAGUCGUUACUCCAACCCUUGUGGAGGAGGACGCCGAAGGUGGGGCUAAUGACUGGGGUGAAGUCGUAACAAGGUAGCCGUACCGGAAGGUGCGGCUGGAUCACCUCCU